rnacentral:tRNA from 1 species
GGGGGGAUACGCGGCGGACAUGAGCAACGGACUUUUAAUCCGUAGGUCCAGGGUUCGAGCCCCUGCACCCUCA